UGGCGAAUCAUUUGUGGAGCUAUUGGCUUCCUGUUCAACCUUGCCUGGCUUAUUUGUGGAAGUGUGUGGGUGUAUCCAAACUAUGGAAAAGUAGUAGCUGAUGAUUUCACGCCAUGCAUGGGAAACAUAACCACGGAUUGCACACAAGGGGAUUGUAACAAAAGCCUGAUCAAAUUCGCUUUUGCAAUGGCGACACUUGAUUGGAUACUCAUGAGCCUUUGGAUCGCUCUGAUUGGUUACACCGUAUUCAGGGCAUGGAAAAAUUAGCCAACCCGUAAGCGGAACGUAAACUUUGGAUGAUGAUUAUAACCAUGGUUAAACUGUUUUGAUGCACUUAUUUAAGCGUUCUUGCUGCUUUACGUUUGUAUGCUGUCCAACCGCUUUGAAUGAACAAUGCUUAUUCAUGAAUCAUGAAAAUCACUU
rnacentral:lncRNA from 1 species